rnacentral:misc_RNA from 1 species
GUAAGGAAAUUCCCUCCCUCCCUCUCUCUGCAACCUCAUUCAUUAAUCAUUGCCUCAACACAAAGCCACCACCUACUCACGCAUCCAUCAAACCUAUAUAUACAUAUUGAAUCAUACCCUUCUUACUGAUUUAUCAUUUUCGGAGAAAAUGGAUUUUGAACUGAGAAGGGCGAGAGAGAAGCUGGAGAAAGAGCAAAAGGAGAGGAAAGAGAAAGCCAGAUUGAAGCUGGAAAGAGAGAGAAAAGCUAAAGCAGAGGCAAAGAAGCAAAGAGAGGCCAUUGAAGCCGCGCAAAGAUCUCGAAGGCUUGAUGCUCUUCAAGCCCAGCUCAAGGCUGAUGAGCGAAUGCAAGAAAAUUUACUUGCUGGGAGAGGAAUAAUGUUUUCUCGAAUACUGCAAGCUAUAUCCUUUCAUGGUAGUGGAGACAAGAUUAAAUUACCUCCUUCCUGUUUCGCAGAAUUGUCUGAUCAAGGUGCUUUUGACAAAGGACCAAUAUAUUUCCAAUUAUCAGUGAUUCAUCAAGAUGGUCCAUCUGAGACAAAGACUACUGACCCAAAGCAGCAGACAACCCACUCAGGUGUUCUUGAGUUCACUGCAGAGGAAAGUUAUGUUGAGCUUCCUCCUCAUAUAUGGAAUAACCUGUUUCCUGUAGGAGCACCAAAUGCUCCUCUAGUUGAGCUUCAUUAUGUCUGGCUACCUAAAGGAACUUAUGCAAAGCUUCAACCUGAAGUUGUUGGCUUUUCUGACAUCCCCAAUCACAAGGCUGUCCUUGAAACAACCCUUCGGCAGCAUGCCACUCUUUCUCAAGGUGAUGUGAUCACUGUCAACCAUGGGAUACUAGCAUACAAGUUACGGGUUCUAGAGUUGAAACCUUCCUCUAGUGUCUCUGUCCUGGAAACAGAUAUUGAGGUUGAUGUAGUUGGUCCAGAUUCAGUUUCAGAGAGCACAAAUCAACAUGUCCUGAAGCCACUUAAUUUUGGAAUGUCAGAGGCUGUAAUGGUUGAAGAAGGGAACUAUGAUUAUUAUAAAUUUUCUAUUGAUGAUGAUACUUGGGAAAAAAUUGCUUCUGGGGAUGUCAGAGUUGAAGUAAAGAUAGAUGCUGAAACUAGUGGUGGUGAUACCGAUCUUUACAUGUCCAAGCAUCCUCUUAUAUUUCCAACUCGGCAUCAACAUGAAUGGUCUUCUCAUGAUGUGGGGUCAAAAGUUUUGAUCCUUAGCUCCAAGGAUAAGAACUUUGGUGUGGGUGCUUACAGCAUUGGUAUAUAUGGUUUCAAGGGAACGACAAAGUGUAAGGUAUUGGUUAGCGUUGAAAAUAAUAUUAGUCUUAAGAUGGGUCAACAAGCUGGAUCUUCAUCAUCUGUGGAGAUUGAUACUGUAGAGUGUAGGAAUUGUAAGCAUUUUAUACCCUCCAGGAGUAUAGCACUGCAUGAGGCAUAUUGUAUUAGACAUAAUAUUGUUUGUCAGCAUGCUGGUUGUGGAAUUGUUCUGAGGAUUGAGGAGGCCCAAAACCAUGUGCAUUGUGAGAAUUGUGGCCAAGCUUCUCAAAGGGGAGAAAUGGAAAAGCAUAUGAAAGUUUUCCAUGAACCACUUCAGUGUCCCUGUGGAGUAGCCCUUGAGAAGGAAUUGAUGGUAAGCAAAUGGAACCUUUAUUCUUAUUCUGCCUCUUUAAAAUUUAGAAUUUCUUUUAUUUCAGUAAUAUUAACUCCUCACCGUGCAUCAUACCAUCUAAUGUCUAGUAGUGCUUGUGGUGGGCUGCCCAAUUGAUUGAUCAAUGCAAGAGUCACAUGGAUCUAACGUGAUGUUGCACUUCAAUCAUUGAGGCAGUAAGCCCAGUUGGUUGCCAAAGAUAAGACCAUUGAUCAGUUGUUUUGAUGAUUUGUGGUGUUCACUAUGGAUGAUGAUGAGGUAGAAAUUCUAGAAAUAAUUCUAGGUAUGAAAUGUGGAGGUGAUAUCUAAACCAUUUGAAGUUGCAGAUGAUGACGACUUAUUUGGGGUUAACCCUUUGCCCCCUGGAGUGAGGGUUUAAAAUGGCAUCUUAAUUCUUAAGAAGUCUGCUAAAAAUUUUCCCAAAAAUCAUUGAAAAAGAAACAUAGCUAGCUUACGUCACUAGCAUUUUAAUUUUUUAGGGAACAACGUUUUACGUAUUUAUUUACUUGUCUGUGGCAGGUACAACACCAAGCUUCAGCUUGUCCCCUACGCCUUAUAACAUGCCGAUUUUGCGGCGAUAUGGUUCAAGCUGGGAGUUCAGCUAUGGAUGUGAGGGACCGAUUAAGAGGCUUAUCUGAGCAUGAGAGUGUUUGUGGGUCUAGAACAGCCCCAUGCGACUCUUGCGGACGAUCCGUCAUGUUGAAGGAGAUGGACAUCCACCAAAUUGCUGUUCAUCAAAAAAGUUAAUUACAAGAACCAAACUUAAAUUAUCAGACAAGAACCAAGCUUAAAGGGCUGGCCAUGUGAUCAUGUGCUGGGGAAGCAUGAUUUAGCAAAUCCAUUUUUUAUCCGAUUGAACCCUGGUUGCUUUAUAGCAGUUAUGGUUAAUCAUGUGUUUGAAAAUCGACUCCUGUGCAUAAGAAAAGUGAUAAACCAAAGAAAAGUAUUGCUGUAUCAUGUGAUUGUUUAAUUUAAUGUAAGCAAUGUAUGUUGCUUUACAUCUCUGCAUGGUGAAUAUGUUUUAUUAUUCUUAAAUUUGUAAUUUUUUUUUUAAUAAAGAAGAUUGAUGGCCAAAUGAUCAGAUGCUUCAUCUGGAUGAAUAGAUUCCUUGGUCAUU